UGAGGAAUAUUGGACAAUGGACGCAAGUCUGAUCCAGCCAUGCCGCGUGAAGGAUGAAUGCCCUCUGGGUUGUAAACUUCUUUUAUAGGGGAAGAAAGAUACUUUUUUUAAGGUAGUUGACGGUACCCUAUGAAUAAGCACCGGCUAACUCCGUGCCAGCAGCCGCGGUAAUACGGAGGGUGCAAGCGUUAUCCGGAUUUACUGGGUUUAAAGGGUGCGUAGGCGGGCAUGUAAGUCAGUGGUGAAAUACCGGAGCUUAACUUCGGAACUGCCAUUGAUACUAUAUGUCUUGAAUAUUGUGGAGGUAAGCGGAAUAUGUCAUGUAGCGGUGAAAUGCAUAGAUAUGACAUAGAACACCGAUUGCGGAGGCAGCUUGCUACGCAAAUAUUGACGCUGAGGCACGAAAGCGUGGGGAUCAAACA
rnacentral:rRNA from 1 species